UACGGAGGGUGCAAGCGUUGUUCGGAAUUAUUGGGCGUAAAGAGCUCGUAGGCGGUCUGUCGCGUCUGCUGUGAAAACUCGGGGCUUAACCCCGGGCCUGCAGUGGGUACGGGCAGACUAGAGUGCGGUAGGGGAGACUGGAAUUCCUGGUGUAGCGGUGAAAUGCGCAGAUAUCAGGAGGAACACCGGUGGCGAAGGCGGGUCUCUGGGCCGUAACUGACGCUGAGGAGCGAAAGCGUGGGGAGCGAACAGG
rnacentral:rRNA from 1 species